ACCAGUUGGAUCUGUCGAGUCUCAUAAAGAAGAGAUGCUUGUGCUUGUGCUUGCUGGUUCAUCAAACAGCUCGGGAAAGGCCUUGGCCUCUCCAGUCGGAGCUCCGACAAAGGCCGCAGCGCAUGCAUCUAGGCAACAUUAGGACCUGCUUUGUGCUAGGAGCUACUGCUCUACUACCAUCGUCACCGCUCAAAACAUCGUAGGGUUCUUCCGCUCCUGUACGCCCACAAUCUUUCAAGUAAUUGCCACCAGCAGACCUCCCUGCAGGACAUCAGCGAGCUGCAGGUUGCAACACGCCAGCAGAGGAGAUUUUACAAAAAGUACUGUCACCGGCAUUGCGGAUCCCCGAUCUCCACCGCCAGAGCUGCGUCGCUAGACUCGGUGACGCCCAUCUCCGUGCCGGCUCCGAUCUCCACUUGAUCUCCACCGCCAAAUACCGUCGCCCGCCUCGGUUGUCUCGUCCCGUCCUCCGUGCCACCCCUGAUCUCCACCACCCGAACACCGUCGCCCGCCCUGUCACCCGCCUCCACACAGCCACGGAUCUCUGAUUCGCACAAAGGAGCACAAGCUACCCAUUCAAAAAUCGGUGUUGGGCAACCAGCCGCUUCUCUUCUUGGGACCCCUUGCUGUUUCCCGUCGACGUCGGGCUUUUUCUGACUUGUGGGUUCUACUAUUUUAUUCCCCUGUUUUCCUUGUGUGAUCGAUACGAUUGGUUAAUUAAUGAUGCAGAACUAGCCUUUUGUUUUUCCGUGGUACCAAAAUUGACCUUUGGUAGCUAUGAACGACAUAUGUCUUGGCAUAUUUCUUGCGGUAAAAAGGUUAAAUUUUAUUGUACAUAGGAUCCGUGCCCUUUACAGUUCCUAAAUCCUACUGGGCAGAUAUGUUCACUCGAGCUUUGCUCAAUGCGAUCAUUCACACUAUAUGUUUCUCUGCUUAUUUUCUGAAUAAGCUGGUAAGUAGUAUUAUGCCACCUAUGAGAAAAAAAAAGUUAUUAUCUGCAUGUGUGAGAAAAUAACUUAUUAAUUAUCUGCAUAUG